CGGUGUCUCCAUGUCUCUCUCUGUGCGUCUCUCCCCAGCUACUGGCCAUACGGGCCCGAGGGUUGCCAGCUGCACGGAUUCCAUGGCUUCGUGACGGCACUCGCGAGCAUCAGCACCAUGGCAGCAAUCGCCUGGGACCGCCACAGCACCCACUGCUGCCGUCGAAAUGCGUCCGCAAAUCUUCCCCCAUUCACUGCAAAGCCGCGGCGUUGUUGACUUCUGGGUUUUGCUCCUCUUACAGCUCGAAUUUUUUUUUUGUUGUUUAAAACCAAAAAAAAAUCUAUCUUUCGAAUCA